GGCUGGGUAGCUCAGUCGGUUAGAGCGUGGUGCUGAUAACACCAAGGUCGCGGGUUCGAUCCCCGUUCGGUCCC
rnacentral:tRNA from 1 species